rnacentral:rRNA from 1 species
GGGAGCUUGCUCCCUGAUGUUAGCGGCGGACGGGUGAGUAACACGUGGGUAACCUGCCUGUAAGACUGGGAUAACUCCGGGAAACCGGGGCUAAUACCGGAUGGUUGUCUGAACCGCAUGGUUCAGACAUAAAAGGUGGCUUCGGCUACCACUUACAGAUGGACCCGCGGCGCAUUAGCUAGUUGGUGAGGUAACGGCUCACCAAGGCGACGAUGCGUAGCCGACCUGAGAGGGUGAUCGGCCACACUGGGACUGAGACACGGCCCAGACUCCUACGGGAGGCAGCAGUAGGGAAUCUUCCGCAAUGGACGAAAGUCUGACGGAGCAACGCCGCGUGAGUGAUGAAGGUUUUCGGAUCGUAAAGCUCUGUUGUUAGGGAAGAACAAGUGCCGUUCAAAUAGGGCGGCACCUUGACGGUACCUAACCAGAAAGCCACGGCUAACUACGUGCCAGCAGCCGCGGUAAUACGUAGGUGGCAAGCGUUGUCCGGGAAUUAUUGGGCGUAAAGGGCUCGCAGGCGGUUUCUUAAGUCUGAUGUGAAAGCCCCCGGCUCAACCGGGGAGGGUCAUUGGAAACUGGGGAACUUGAGUGCAGAAGAGGAGAGUGGAAUUCCACGUGUAGCGGUGAAAUGCGUAGAGAUGUGGAGGAACACCAGUGGCGAAGGCGACUCUCUGGUCUGUAACUGACGCUGAGGAGCGAAGCGUGGGGAGCGAACAGGAUUAGAUACCCUGGUAGUCCACGCCGUAAACGAUGAGUGCUAAGUGUUAGGGGGUUUCCGCCCCUUAGUGCUGCAGCUAACGCAUUAAGCACUCCGCCUGGGGAGUACGGUCGCAAGACUGAAACUCAAAGGAAUUGACGGGGGCCCGCACAAGCGGUGGAGCAUGUGGUUUAAUUCGAAGCAACGCGAAGAACCUUACCAGGUCUUGACAUCCUCUGACAAUCCUAGAGAUAGGACGUCCCCUUCGGGGGCAGAGUGACAGGUGGUGCAUGGUUGUCGUCAGCUCGUGUCGUGAGAUGUUGGGUUAAGUCCCGCAACGAGCGCAACCCUUGAUCUUAGUUGCCAGCAUUCAGUUGGGCACUCUAAGGUGACUGCCGGUGACAAACCGGAGGAAGGUGGKGAUGACGUCAAAUCAUCAUGCCCCUUAUGACCUGGGCUACACACGUGCUACAAUGGACAGAACAAAGGGCAGCGAAACCGCGAGGUUAAGCCAAUCCCACAAA